GCGACCUACGGGGCGCAGCAGUAGGGAAUCUUCCACAAUGGGCGAAAGCCUGAUGGAGCAACGCCGCGUGAGUGAAGAAGUAUUUCGAUAUGUAAAGCUCUAUCAGCAGGGAAGAAGAUGACGGUACCUGAUUAAGAAGCCCCGGCUAACUACGUGCCAGCAGCCGCGGUAAUACGUAGGGGGCAAGCGUUAUCCGGAUUUACUGGGUGUAAAGGGAGCGUAGAUGGCAUAGCAAGUCUGAAGUGAAAGCCCAAGGCUCAACCAUGGGACUGCUUUGGAAACUGUUAAGCUAGAGUGCUGGAGAG
rnacentral:rRNA from 1 species